ACAAAAUUAAAUAGCGGGAAAUUUAUACCAAAAUGAAUUAAUGUUAAUUUGGUUUCUUUUUAAAAUGUAUAUUUAUUUUACGGUAUUUUAUAAAAAUAAUUAAGUGAUAGAAUAGUUAUAAAAUAUAAAUCGUCAAAACAUCCAAUUAUAAAAAAAAUAAUUAUAAGCGGGAUUUGCUGUCAUGAAGAACGCAGUCAAAAAAUGACAAAAAACUACUAACGUAACAUUAAUUUUGCAGAAUAACUGACGAAAUUUGUGUACAGAAUUAUUGAAAUAUAAAUGGGAUUGCUGAAAACUUAAAAUGUAGUAACCAAAAUUAUUACUAAUCUAACCAUCGAAGAAGUGGUUGUUACUCAAUUACCUAAGCAAAAAUAACUAAUAGAAGGUGGAAUGACAGAUAUGGGUGCAUGAUGUAUGUUUCAAAUCAAUCUUAAAUAAUAUCAAAAUGUUUUUUUUUUUUUUACUGUAGCUAUACAGUUUUUUUAUAUAUUCUUAACUUGAAUUGAAUUUAUU